UACAGAGGGUGCAAGCGUUGUUCGGAAUCAUUGGGCGUAAAGGGCGUGUAGGCGGUUUGUUAAGUCAUGUGUGAAAUCCCCCGGCUCAACCGAGGAACGACGCAUGAAACUGGCAAGCUAGAGUACCGAAGAGGGGGGUGGAAUUCCCGGUGUAGCUGUGAAAUGCGUAGAUAUCGGGAGGAACACCUGUGGCGAAGGCGGCAUUCUGGACCGAUAUUGACGCUGAGGAGCGAAAGCCAGGGGAGCAAACGGG
rnacentral:rRNA from 1 species